UCCCGGGCCAAACCUCGGCUCACUGUUCCACCAAAGUGUGGGUGAUGGGGCAGGGCUGGCUGGUGUCUCUGAGCUCCCAGGACCCAGCCCACAACUGCUGAGGAAGCCACGCAGCCAGCCGUGUACAAGUGAAGCGUCUGUGUCUACUUGAAAGUGCCUGCCUGCCUGUGGUCCUUGCCUGUGUGUGCGCCUCUGUCCCCGCCUCCUGGCUGCCCGAGCCCUGGAGCUGCGGGGGGAAGCUGAGCAAGUCGAGGCCCACGCCGCUGCCUCUGCUCCAGCUAGGAUGUGGCUCUUCCACACUCUGCUCUGCAUGACCAGCCUGGCUCCCCUGGCCACCUUCAAUGUGGACAUGGUCCAGACCUGGGUGACUCCCAAGGGAGACGUCCCCUACGUGCUCAGCUCACUUCUGCAUCAGGACUCCAGCACCAACCAGACCUGGCUCCUGGUAACCAGCCCCAGGACCAGCAGGACGGCAGGGCCCCUGUAUCAGUGUUCCCUCAUUCAGGAUGAGCUCCAUUGCCAGCCAGUAGAGAAUGUCCCCAUCCCAAAGGGGAGGUACCGUGGAGUGACAGUUGUCCGGAACCACCAUGGUGUUUUGAUCUGCAUUCAAGUGACGACCCGGUGGCCCCAGAGCCUCAGCUCAGAGCUCACAGGCAACUGCAUCCUGCUGGCCCCUGACCUCCAUCCCCGUGCCCAGGUCUACUUCUCCGACCUUGAAAAAUUACUGGACCCUGAUGCCCCUGUGGAUGCUGGAGACUGCUCCAGGAACAAAAAAGGCAGCACGGAGAACACAGCCAGGCCGCGCCGGGAAUUGAAGGUGGAGGAGGAGGAGACAGAGGACGAGGACGAGGAGGCAGCUGGCACCGAGAUCGCCAUCAUCCUGGAUGGCUCAGGAAGCAUCGAUCCCCCAGACUUCCAGAGAGCUAAAGACUUCAUCUCCAACAUGAUGAAGAACAUCUAUGAGAAGUGCUUUGAGUGCAACUUUGCCCUGGUGCAGUAUGGGGAAGUCAUCCAGACAGAGCUUGACCUUCAGGACAGCCAAGACGUUACAGCCUCCCUCGCCAGAGUCCAGAACAUCACUCAAGUGGGGAGUGUCACCAAGACUGCCUCUGCCAUGCAGCAUGUCCUAGACAACAUCUUCACACCAAGCCAUGGCUCCAGAGAAAAGGCAUCCAAGGUCAUGGUGGUGCUCACUGAUGGGGACAUAUUCGGGGACCCCCUCAACCUCACAACUGUCAUCGACUCCACAAAGAUGCAAGGUGUUGAGCGCUUUGCCAUUGGGGUGGGAGAUGCAUUUAAUAAAACCAGGGCGUACAACGAGCUGAAGCUGAUCGCCUCGGACCCCGAUGAGGACCACGCCUUCAAGGUGACCAACUACUCGGCGCUGGAUGGGCUGCUGAGCAAACUGCAGCAGAGCAUCAUUAGCGUGGAAGGCACGGUCGGAGAUGCCCUCCACUACCAGCUGGCACAGGUCGGGUUCAGCGCCCAGAUCCUGGACGAGGGGCAGGUGCUGCUCGGUGCUGUAGGGGCCUUCGACUGGUCGGGGGGCACGCUGUUCUACAACAUGAGCAGCCGCAAGGGCCGCUUCCUGAACCAGACGGCGGUGGAUGCCAAGGCUGUGCAGUACAGCUACCUGGGUUACUCGGUGGCGGUGCUGCACAAGGCCUGUGGCCUCUCCUAUGUGGCAGGGGCUCCACAGCACAAGCGGCAAGGGGCUGUGUUUGAGCUCCGGAAGGAGAGCAGAGAGACCAACUUUGUACCAGUGCUGGAGGGCGAGCAGAUGGGGUCCUAUUUUGGCUCUGAGCUGUGCCCUGUGGACGUCGACAUGGAUGGGACCACAGACUUGUUGCUGGUGGCCGCCCCAUUUUACCACAUUCAAGGCGAGGAGGGCAGAGUCUACAUGUACCGUGUGAACAAGCAGGAUGGUUCCUUCUCCUUGGUACGCACGCUGAGUGGCCACCCCAGGUUAACUUAUGCGCGAUUUGGCUUUGCCAUGGCGACAGUGGGGGAUAUCAGUCAGGAUGAGCUCACAGAUGUGGCCAUCGGGGCCCCCCUGGAAGACUUUGGGGCAGAUGGUGGUGCAGGCUUCGGCAGCGUGUACAUCUACAAUGGACACUCUACCAACCAGCUGGCUGACCUCUCUACCAACCAGCCACAGAGGAUCAGAGCCUCAGUGGUGGCCCCAGGACUGCAGUACUUCGGCACGUCGGUGGCAGGUGGCUUAGAUUUCAGUGGCGACGGCCUUGCUGACAUCGCCGUGGGCGCUCUGGGCCGGGCGGCUGUGCUCCGCUCAAGACCUGUGGUUCGUCUGAAGCUGUCCAUGACCUUCACCCCCAAGGCACUGCCCAUUGGCUUCUACAGCAACGUGAAUGUGACUUUGUGUUUUGAAAUCAGCUAUGUGUCCCCAGCUGCUGAGUCAGGCCUCAAAGAGACCUCUCUGAACUUCACUUUGGACGUGGAUGUGGUGAAGCAGAGGAAAAGGCUGCAGUGUUCAGAUGAGAGGCUGUGUCAGAGCUCCCUUAGGGAGUGGGGCACGGGCCCCCGUCUCUGUGAGCCCUUCCUGCUGGUUCCCACAGAGGGAGAGCUCUGUCAGGAGGACUGCUUCUCCAACAUCAGUGUCAAGGUCAGCUACCAACUCCAGACCCCCGAGGGCCAGAGGGACCAUCCCCAGCCUAUCCUGGACUUCCAUGCUGAGCCCUCUGCCAUCUUCCAGCUGCCCUACGAGAAGGCCUGCAAGAAUAAGCUGUUCUGUGUCGCUGAGCUGCAGUUGGCCACCACCCUCUCUCAGCAGGAAUUGGUGGUGGGUCUCACAAAGGAGCUGAGCAUGAACAUUAGCCUAACUAACUCUGGGGAAGAUUCCUACAUGACAAGCAUGGCUUUGAAUUACCCCAGAAACUUGCAGUUUAAGAGGAUACAAAAGCCUCCUUCUCCAAACAUUCAGUGCGAUGACCCUAAGCCAACUGCUUCUGUCCUGGUCGUGAACUGCAAGAUCGGUCACCCCAUACUCAAGAGGUCAUCUGCAAACUUUUCAUUAGUUUGGCAGCUGGAGGAGAGUGCCUCUCCAAACAGGACAGCCGACAUCACUGUGACAGUCACCAAUUCCAAUGAAAGAAGGUCUCUGGUCAGUAAGACCCACAGCCUUCAUUUCAAACAUGCCUUCAUUGCAGUUCUUCCCAAACCAUCAGUGACGUACAUGAACACAAGCCAGGGGCUUUCCCAGCACAAAGAGUUCCUCUUCAAUAUACAUGGGGAGAACCUCUUUGGAGCCGAGUUCCAGCUGCAAAUUUGUGUUCCAGUUAAAUUACAAGGUUUCCAGGUCAUAAGAGUGAAGAACCUGACCAAGACUCAGGCUCACACUGUGUGCACCCAGAGUCCGGAGCGCGUUUGUGGGAGCGACCGAGUUCAGCAUGUGGAAGAAUGGCAUUCAGUGAGCUGUAACGUCACCUCGGAUAAAGAAAAUGUGACCGUGGCUGCAGAGGUCUCCUUGAGUCAAUCAGAACAGUUACGAAGAGAUGUGACUGAGCUGCACAUCCUUGGUGAAAUAUCUUUCAACAAAUCUCUAUAUGAGGGGCUCAAUGCAGAGAACCAUAGAACUAAGAUCACUGUCACCUUCCUGAAAGAUGAGGAGGCGUAUUCUCUGUCUCUCGUUAUUAAAAGCAGUGUUGGUGGCCUUCUGGUUUUGAUCGUGAUUAUAGUCAUCCUAGUCAAGUUGGGUGUUCCUGGUGAAGAAGUGUUACCAAGACACGGACACAUCCCUGCAGAGCAGCAUCAUCACCAAAGUCAAGGGUGUGACCUUCACCAACACCUCAGAGCUUGGGGAGCGGCUCUGGGAUGUUGCCGACUAUGUCAUCCCACCCCAGGUCUGAGCCCCACCCAGCACAAGGGCCCAGGCUGGCAGGGUCUGGAUCUGGGUGGGUGACAUGGGAAACUGCUUGGGGAGCCAGGGACCUCCAUUCACUGUCUCCCUUGGCCUGGGAUGGCUGCAGGGUUUGCAGAUAGACUCUGCCCAGGUCCUUUACCCCAUGCCAAACCCCAGCCCUCCCCAACUGUGCCUUACGGGGCUGCUCUGUUCCCAUGAAACCCUGAGUCUGUUGAAACCAAAUGGGACCCAGAGAACUUCCAGGUCAGUGUGAGUCAGGUGGCCUGGCACCGAGAGCCCUGCCCUUAUAUUGGCCACUGUCCCUGGGAGCAGUUCCCUGUGCCGGGGCCGGGCCAUCUCAUCACUGCCCCUUCUCCUCUCUCCCCUCCUGUAUCUCAGCUUGGACCCUGGGGGCUGAGGUCAGAAUGGUUUGGGGUUGUGGGCAUGGAAGAGACCCCUCUAAGCGUACCUGCUCUGGGACUCCGAGGGAGAGAAUGUCUUCUUUGUAAUCACCAACCUGGUCGUGACCCCCAACCA